AUUGAACGCUGGCGGCAUGCCUUACACAUGCAAGUCGAACGGUAACAGGUCUUCGGAUGCCGACGAGUGGCGAACGGGUGAGUAAUACAUCGGAACGUGCCCGAUCGUGGGGGAUAACGGAGCGAAAGCUUUGCUAAUACCGCAUACGAUCUACGGAUGAAAGCAGGGGACCGCAAGGCGUCGCGCGACUGGAUGAGCCC
rnacentral:rRNA from 1 species